rnacentral:pre_miRNA from 1 species
AAAAUAAUAACCUGAGGAUUUGUUAGUAUAUAGAAUCUGUUUCAUAAGUAGGGGUGGGGACUGAGAUUCUGUAUUUCCAAUAAGUUCCAGAUGAUUCUCAU